AUUCUUGGAUUUAUGAAAGAUUAACNUCUGCGAAAGCAUCUGCCAAGGAUGUUUUCAUUAAUCAAGAACGAAAGUUAGGGGAUCGAAGACGAUCAGAUACCGUCGUAGUCUUAACCAUAAACGAUGCCGACCAGCGAUUAGGAGACGUUGAAUACAAAACACCAUUCAUUUAGCACGGUCGUUUCAAAUAUUCCUUUUUGCGAAGGUUGUUUGGGAACGCCUCGUCCUGAUGAAUAUGGUGAAUGACUCCCCUAGCAGCUUGUGAGAAAUCAUAAGUCUUUGGGUUCCGGGGGGAGUAUGGUCGCAAGGCUGAAACUUAAAGGAAUUGACGGAAGGGCACCACCAGGAGUGGAGCCUGCGGC
rnacentral:rRNA from 1 species